rnacentral:lncRNA from 1 species
AUUGUAGAUGGGAUAUCACUUUUGCUUACCUUCUAGACUGACUGAACAAUAUCCUUGCUUCAUAUAGGAUUGUUGGAUUCCAGUCAUUUUAUCUUGGAGACAAAAAAAUGAAGAUAUAAUCUGAGAAUUUAGGCAUAUCUAUUGAUAGCAUACAUUACCACAUUUGAAGAAAAUAUUUGAAAAAGUCUUCAAACCACCGAGCAAGAAGGGAGACCAACAUAAAGGAAAAUACAGAAAGGAAACAAUGGUGAAGUCUCUGUCACAGAAUGGAGACUUACCUGAAUGAAAAGCAUCAGUGGCUUUAUUGUCUGGCAUUUGAAUUUGGCCAAUAAUAGACAUUAGUAGAAUAUUGAGAGGAG